rnacentral:rRNA from 1 species
CCUACGGGAGGCAGCAGUGGGGAAUAUUGCACAAUGGGGGAAACCCUGAUGCAGCGACGCCGCGUGAGUGAAGACGUAAUUCGUUACGUAAAGCUCUAUCAGCAGGGAAGAAAAUGACGGUACCUGAGUAAGAAGCCCCGGCUAACUACGUGCCAGCAGCCGCGGUAAUACGUAGGGGGCAAGCGUCAUCCGGAUUUACUGGGUGUAAAGGGAACGGAGACGGUGCGCCAAGUCUGGAGUUAAAUGCCGCAGCUUAACUGCGGCACUGCUUUUGAAACUGGCGAACUAGAGUGCGGGAGGGGUAAGCGGAAUUCCUAGUGUAGCGGUGAAAUGCGUAGAUAUCACGAAGAACUCCGAUUGCGAAGGCAGUUCACUGGACUGCAACUGACACUGAGGCUCGAAAGUGUGGGUAUCAAACAGGAUUAGAUACCCCAGUAGUC